rnacentral:rRNA from 1 species
CCUACGGGUGGCUGCAGUGAGGAAUAUUGGUCAAUGGGCGCGAGCCUGAACCAGCCAAGUCGCGUGAAGGAUGACUGCCCUACGGGUUGUAAACUUCUUUUGUAAAGGAAUAAAGUGAGGCACGUGUGCCUUUUUGUAUGUACUUUAUGAAUAAGGAUCGGCUAACUCCGUGCCAGCAGCCGCGGUAAUACGGAGGAUCCGAGCGUUAUCCGGAUUUAUUGGGUUUAAAGGGCGCGUAGAUGGGGUGUUAAGUCAGUUGUGAAAGGUUGCGGCGCAACCGUAAAAUUGCAAUUGAUACUGGCAGUCUUGAGUACAGGAGAGGUAAGCGGAAUUCGUGGUGUAGCGGUGAAAUGCGUAGAUAUCACGAAGAACUCCGAUUGCGAAGGCAGCUUACUAAACUGCCACUGACGUUGAUGCUCGAAAGUGUGGGUAUCAAACAGGAUUAGAUACCCUGGUAGUC